AUGUGCAUUCACUUCGAAGAAAACAUAAAGAAAAAAAAAAAAGAAUCUCUCCAAGCAUCACCAAGGACAAAUCCUGAAUUAAGUAAACAGCUGACGUUUCUGGUCCUCUCCUACAUCUGGACUUUGUGUACCGAUCAGCAACUCCCAUGUUACACGGCGCCCGGCCAGCUUGGACCUCUUUCCAACCUCGAAGAAGAAUGCCACCCUGAGGAGGAUGCCCGCGAGGCAGGGAACCCCACUGCCAGGAGUCAGCCUGUCCUUCCUUUUACCUCAGAAGACUUGGGGGAUGGAGGAAGUGGCCAUGCUGGAGGGCCAGGGCUGGGCAGGGCAGGAGAUAGCCUCUGCACCCUACCCAAGCCAGCUGUCAUGGCCAAGCAGCUAGUGAUGCCACCCUCAAUUCCCAGGGUGACGAGCAUUGCCCGAAGGGGCAGCAUCUGUCAACAGCUGACAGGAAGGGCCACCUCAGGGGCAGGCCAGUGCUGCAAGGUGCCACACAACACUGAAGGCAGAGAUAUUGACAGACACCAAGACCUGUCCAAAUGCUUCUGAGCUGGGCAAAUACACGAGGGCACAGGAGGUGUAGUGCAGUGUAGAGUUAACACAAAGAACAAAACGAUUAAGACAGGACACCCACAGCACGUCCUGUCGCUGCUGGGAAAUGCGACUCAUCUUCCCUGUUUUGCUUUCUCCAAAGUCUUCUUAUAUUUCUUCUUUCUUCUUCCAACCUGACCACAUAACACCACUUUCUACUUGAAACUGCUUUCCAGGAGAACUUCUCUAGCAAUUAUAGUACAAUUUUAUAUCUAGAUUUUCCACAUAUACUCCCACUUCUUCUAAAAAUAUGAGAUGAUUUCCAACCAGGAAAUACAUUUCUGACUGCAGGCAUAAACUUAGAUUUUGCUCAAAUACUCCCAUAUUUGGGUGCAUUCUACAUGAGGGAAAUCUGAAGAAAAAAUUUACUUAUUCAUUUAGAAAAUAUUAAGUGUUUAUAAUAUAGAAGGCUCUGUAUCCAGAGCUACAAGAGGCAUCUGUAGAGAGGGAUCAUUUGUUUAAAGGUUCACUGCCACAUUUCUUUGUGCAUUUAGGAAUUUGCUGAUUAUUAGCUAACUGAUUAAAAUAUUAGGGGGAUAAAUACAGAAAAAAUAAUACCAGAUUGGUAUCAAGCUAAGAUGAAACACUACUGAUAAUGUAAGCCAAUAAGAAAAUAAGAUAUUAUUUUCAAAAGUUUGAUUUAUACAUUUUCUCAGAACAUAUUUUUUGAAAAGUGAGGCAUAACUAUGUACAUAAAACUAAGCCAUCCCUUGCCAUCAGAUGAAAAGUCCUUGAUACUCUUAUAUUAAAAGGAAAAUAGUUUCAUCUUAUUAGUAAUUACUGAAUUCAGUUACGUUGUUUCCUAUUGGUCAUCAUUAGGAGAUAACAAGGGGAAACUAUGAAAAUCACUUAAUUAAAUUAAAAUAUCA
rnacentral:lncRNA from 1 species